UUAGCUAAAGCCAAAAUAGAGGCAACUUAUUGUUAAUAAAAAAACUGAAUAAUUAAUUCUAGCUAAA
rnacentral:tRNA from 1 species